rnacentral:misc_RNA from 1 species
AACCUAGCACACCUGCGGUGUGUACCUGCGGAGGGAUCAUUAUCGAGUUACCACUCUAUAACCCUUUGUGAACAUACCUACAUGUUGCUUCGGCGGUCGGCCCCCCGGGCCCCCGGCCCCGCUCACGCGGGGCGUCCGCCGGAGGAUAACCAAACUCUGAUUUAACGACGUUUCUUCUGAGUGGCACAAGCAAAUAAUCAAAACUUUUAACAACGGAUCU